AAGCCAGACUCCUACGGGAGGCAGCAGUGGGGGAUAUUGCACAAUGGGGGGAACCCUGAUGCAGCGACGCCGCGUGGGUGAAGGAGCGUUUCGGCGCGUAAAGCCCUAUCGGCAGGGAAGAAGGAGGACGGUACCUGACUAAGAAGCCCCGGCUAACUACGUGCCAGCAGCCGCGGUAAUACGUAGGGGGCAAGCGUUAUCCGGAUUUACUGGGUGUAAAGGGGGCGCAGACGGCAGCGCAAGCCAGGAGUGAAAGCCCGGGGCCCAACCCCGGGACUGCUCUUGGAACUGCGCGGCUGGAGUGCAGGAGGGGCAGGCGGAAUUCCUGGUGUAGCGGUGAAAUGCGUAGAUAUCAGGAGGAACACCGGUGGCGAAGGCGGCCUGCUGGACUGCGACUGACGUUGAGGCCCGAAAGCGUGGGGAGCAAACAGGAUUAGAUACCCCAGUACG
rnacentral:rRNA from 1 species